rnacentral:lncRNA from 1 species
AAGAGACUCUGGAAUCCCUCUUACCACCAUGAAGGCAACGUCUGCCUGAGGAUAAAAGAAAGAAGAUCAGGAAAUGAAGUCAGGCUGCAAUCAGGAGAGAGAAAUACCAUCAGAAAUUUAACGAGAAAAAAUGUAAUAUAAAGAGUUAUCAACUGGUAAUAAGGAACUAGCAACUGGGACUGGGAGGAGAUAAAAGAGAACUCUGAAGAAUAACCUAAGAGUCGGGGAGAGUGACCAAGAAAAGAACAAACUUGGAAGAAAGGGGCUUUACAGAGUCAUGUCAACAAAGCAAAAGGCACACUACACAAGGAGUUGCUACUACUUGCUCAGAACUUUCAAUAGAAACUUCUCACCCCUUCCAGUUUGCUUCUUCUAAGCAGCCAAAGGAAACGGAUUGGUUGCAACAAAACUAACUACAGUGAGGAGGCUGCAGAGAACCCAGGUGGCAAGAGUGAGACAGACACUGCAGCACAGUGGAGGGAAGAGGGAGUCAGGACCAAGUGCAACAUCAGCCAGCACAGCGGAAUGUUUCACUCUCAGCCACUGAACAACCUGCAAAGCCUUGAUCACAGUGAAUAGCAAUGAGGAAGUCAAUCUCUGGCAUUCAGUGGAGAAUGCUCGGGCACACGCCAGUUCUGCUACAGACUUCGGCAUUUUACUAUCUUUUGAAAAUCACCACAGCUACAGACGCUACGAUGAACAUGUUUUGUUACAUAAACAGAAACUCUCAAGUCCUAUGCUGUAAGGCCCAUUUUAGUCUUUCUAACUUACUACUAGAUUCAUGAACAUGGAUUUUUUUAAAGAAUUAAAAACUGCUCCAAGUCAUUUAUUAUUUUUUUUCAAAACCUAGCUGUAAGCAAGGUAAUUGAAAGGAAAUAUGUAUUCCCAGUAAAGGAUAGUUUAAGAGUAAAUUCUCCUACUUGGUAAUACUUGGGGGCUUUGGGUAUUUUUUAUUGAUAUAGCAUAAUUGUACCUAUUUUGGGGGGGGUCCAUGUGAUAUUUUGAUACAUUUCACAAUGUGUAAUGUGUAAUGACCAAAUUAGGGUAACUGGGACAUCCAUCACCUCCAGCAUUUAUCUUUUCUUCGUGUUGGGAACAUCACAGUUCUCUUCUAGCUCCUUUGAAAUAUACAAUACGUUUUUGUUAACUAAUUUCCCUACUGUACUACUGAAUACUAGAACUUAUUUCUUCUAACUGUACUUUUGGACUCAUUAACCAACUUCUCUCCAUUCCUCCUCCCUUGAUAAUAUUUGCAACAGAAUAGCCUUCUCUGAGACUCAACUCAUAAUAAACAAUGAAUUCACAUUAAAUUGUAUUUUAGGUAUGAAGGAAUCAUUUACAAAAAAUAAUUUAAAAGAAUGCAUUUAGUAAAAAAAAAAAAAAAGUAGAAAAAAUUUAAAAUACAACUUAAGUCCAGAAUUGUACAUGACUCUUCACUGCAGGUAGUUAAGAUUUUUAGGUCACUAAAUUUCGCCAUCUGCAGGUGCUUAAAUAAAUAAAUCAGUACAAUUUGGCUUUAAACAAAUACAUUACUAUUUAGACUUUGUAUUUUCUCUGUGUGGUGUUACCUUGGUUUGUAGUUUAUUUUAACAUAAAUGUAGGUCAUAGGUUGCUUAAGAAAUUUAAGGCUGACACAGAUUAUUUCUCAACGUAGUAAAAAUGAAAAUAAAUUUCAACA